rnacentral:rRNA from 1 species
GGGGCACCGAACUUAGACAACUCUACUAUAUUGUUCGCCAGAGUACUACAAGCGCUAGCUUAAAACCCAAAGGACUUGGCGGUAUCCCACACCCACCUAGAGGAGCCUGUUCUAUAACCGAUAAUCCCCGUUCAACCUUACCACUCCUUGCCAUUACCGUCUAUAUACCGCCGUCGUCAGCUCACCCUGUGAAGGACUAAAAGUAAGCAAAAAGAAUUAAACUCCAAAACGUCAGGUCGAGGUGUAGCAAAUGAAGUGGGAAGAAAUGGGCUACAUUUUUUUUAAAAAACAAACGAAUGAUAAACUGAAAAAUUACCUAAAGGUGGAUUUAGCAGUAAGAGGAGGUCAGAGUACUCCUCUGAAAUCGGCUCUGGGAUAAGCACACACCGCCAAAACACCCACUCAA